UGGGGAAUAUUGGACAAUGGGCGCAAGCCUGAUCCAGCCAUGCCGCGUGUGUGAAGAAGGUCUUCGGAUUGUAAAGCACUUUAAGUUGUGAAGAAGGAUGGAAGUAACGACUUCAUCUUGACAUUAGCAACAGAAUAAGCACCGGCUAACUUCGUGCCAGCAGCCGCGGUAAUACGAAGGGUGCAAGCGUUAAUCGGAAUAACUGGGCGUAAAGCGCGCGUAGGUGGUUAAUCAAGUUGGAUGUGAAAUCCCCGGGCUCAACCUGGGAACUGCAUCCAAAACUGAUUGACUAGAGUAUGGUAGAGGUUAGUGGAAUUUCCUGUGUAGCGGUGAAAUGCGUAGAUAUAGGAAGGAACACCAGUGGCGAAGGCGACUAACUGGACUGAUACUGACACUGAGGUGCGAAAGCGUGGGUAGCAAACA
rnacentral:rRNA from 1 species